AAGAAAAUACUUUUUGUAUAAAAUAUAUUGUUAUUCUAAUAAGCAAUGCUUGACUAUGUAUAAAAUAAAUUUAUGUAGGUAUCAAUACUUUUAGCUUCGAUUUGUAGGUAAGAAGCUUAUAGUUUUAUUAUAAUGUACUUUUUUUUCUGUUCAUGAAAAUUCUCAGCUCUUACUAAAGUAUUCUAGAGACAAUAAGCUUUCUUUUGGUGUGUUUUGUAUAAAAAUAUAAUUAAUUACCUAAAUACAGGAUAAGUAUAAAGGGAUGACCCACGCAUACCAAUAAAAUUUUUAACUCAAUUUUUGAAAAUGUCACGGACAUCAGUCAACUUUUAACCUAUAUCAAAUUCAAUUCAUAUUUUUAUGUUGAUACAAUAUUAAUAAAACCAGCAUUGUGAAAUUACGGAAUAGUAGGGACGAGUAUAGAUGAUAUAGUGGUUAACAUCACAAUCACAAAAAACGUUUUGAUGCGAAUUUGUACUUAAAUGUCUAUGUACCAAAUAAUAAACUUAAAACUAAAUUAAAGCAAUAUUUGAUAAUAGUUGGGUAGUCGACAGCUGAAAUAAAACAAAAUCUCGUGACUAAGAUGUUACUUCACUAUGUUUAGGAGUAUAACCUUAGAAAAAGCUGUUCCCUAUACCUUAUAAUCUAAAGGAAGAAUAUUUAUGAAGUAUAAAUAAUUAAAUACACGAAACCGUUAAAAUCAGUAUACUUAAGUAAAAUAAUUUGCAAUUAAAAUAAUCAUGGAAUACACAGGCGUCUCGAGACAUUUUAAAAAUAAAAAUCAAGAAUAACAGAGAAUAUAUAACGUAAGGACGUUUUUCUUUGUUCUUCAUAAGUACUUUUAAAAAUUUUUAAUCUGCUAUAAGUUUAAAAAAUGCAUACAUUCUGGAACAUUUUCAAAAAUUGAGUUGAAAAAUAAAUAUUUACAUGUGUAGGUAGUCAAAUUUGAACCCUUCCUGUACUUAAGGUUAUCAUUGAAUUUUCACCAAAGUUAUACCAGAAGAAAGCUUAUUUACUUUAGUAUAUAUUAUUCAAAUUUACUAGGAUAACAAAAAAGUUAUAGAAUUUUUAAAAUGCAGAAAUAAAUUUUGUUUUUUGUUGUUUUCAAAGUCGCGAAUUUUAAGUAAUUUUUAAAAAUUUUAAGAGGUAUUUUCAAUUUUCGAAGGUAAUACCUUCAACCAGAUUAAUUUCAGAUUCUUUUAAUGACGUAUAGGUUAUCAAAAGUAGGAAUGGACCAAGGUUCUGCUUUAAGCUCUUACUUAUUUUCUUUAGUGAUGGAUGACAAUACUAGAGAAAUACAAGGAGAGGUUCCAUGGUGCAUGUUGUUCGCUGACAAUAUAGUGUUAUUAGGAGAAAAUAGGGAGGAAAUUAAUCAAAGGUUAGAGGUUUGGAAAUCAGAUCUUGAAGAAAAGGGUAUAAGAAUAAGUAGGAGUAAUACAGAGUAUAUAGAGUACGAGUUUGAUAAAUUUUUUUUUUUAAUUUUAUAGUACAUGACAUAAGCUUUAAUUUGACAUAUGUUUAAAGGACGCAGUAUUUCCGGAACAUUUUCAAAAAUUAAGUUGAAAAAGUUAGUUUUUGUAAAAAAGUUGCUAUUUUAAAUCCCUCCCAAUGAGCAGGUUAAGUGUUAGAUUUUCAAAAAAAUGAUAUCAAAUGAAAGGGAAAUAUCUAAGGUUUUAGUAUAAAGAAAAAUUAUGUUGAUUUGUUUAUUUUUCAAAAAUUUAUGGAAGUUUUAAGAGAAAAAAGUGAAAAAAAUGACAAAAUUUACCGAUUUUUAAAUUUGUAAUUUUUUUGGAUAUCUCCCCCAUUUGCGGGGAACGAGGGAAAAAUCUUCAAUUUUUGAGGGUAAUGUCUUCAACUAGAUACGAUUUGUGAUCUUUUGAUGUAUCGUUGAAAGAAAUCGGUCCAGUGAGAGCUGAGAAAAAGUGGCAACAGAUACAAAAAAAAACACAUCAUGGUAAAAUUAAUACCUUCUCAGCUUCGCAUCGAGGCUAAAACAAAAUUAAACAGAAAACAAAAACAUUUUGAUAAUUCGUUUAAAUUUACAAUAGAUUUUUGAAAAAUAUAACUACGAGCAAAUCAGUAUUUAUCAUUUUAAUAACUAUGUGAAGGAAAUCCUCACAUAUGUGAGCUAAAUUGCUGAAUUAAUGUUAGCGUGGGUAGUGGAGUAGUUAAUCUCUUCACUACUUUAUGUUCUAAAAGCUAUCUUAAUCCCCACACAAAAUUACUAUAUACUCCACUGCUUCAAACAUCUUAUAUAUUUUUAUUUUUUCAAUUUUUGUAAAUGUUAUAAUCAGCUAGACAGUAAUGACUAAUAAGUUAAAAAUUAAAAUACUUAUUUAAAUUUGUAGUAAUAAUAUACUUUCUACAUAGAUACAUCAAUAAAAUAAAAUUUAGCACAGUGGGGUUACAGUAUAGUUUAGAUAAAUUUAGAUAAUAUCUGUAAGUGAUUAACUUCAUUAUCAUAAAGAAUUCUUCCAUGUCAAUCUUUUAAAUUU